UGAGUCAAUGAUGACAGCUGCUGGCUUAUGAGUAAUGGACGAGGAUGACUACUAAGUGUCUGGAACUCUGAGGUCCCA
rnacentral:snoRNA from 1 species